rfam:Jatropha curcas cultivar GZQX0401 scaffold208_66, whole genome shotgun sequence.
CUACCCCAGGUCAAGCGGGAUUACUCGAUGAGUUUAAGCAUAUCAAUAAGCGGAGGAAAAGAAACUUACCAGGAUUCCCCUAGGAACGGCGAGCGAAACAAGAAAUGCCCAGCUUGAGAAUCGGACGCCCUCGGCGUCUGAAUUGUAGUCUAGAGAAGCGUCCUCAGCGACGGACCGGGCCGGGCCCAAGUCCCCUGGAAGGGGGCGCCGGAGAGGGUGAGAGCCCCGUCGUGCCCGGACCCUGUCGCACCACGAGGCGCUGUCUGCGAGUCGGGUUGUUUGGGAAUGCAGCCCAAAUCGGGCGGUAAAUUCCAUCCAAGGCUAAAUACAGGCGAGAGACCAAUAGCGAACAAGUACCGUUAGGAAAAGAUGAAAAGGAAUUUGAAAAGAGAGUCAAAGAGUGCUUGAAAUUGUCAGAAGGGAAGCGGAUGGGGGCCCGCGAUGCGUCCCGGUCGGAUGUGGAACGGCGACAAACCGGUCUGUCGAUCGGCUGGCGACGCGGACCGAUGCGGAUCGCUGUGGCGGCCCAAGCCCAGGCUUUUGAUACGCCCGUGGAGACGCCGUCCCGACGAUCAUGGACCACAGCAUAUGCCUUCAAGGCGUGCCUCGGUACUUGCGCGCUCCCGUCGUCAGCCAGUGGGCUCCCUAGGCGAGUAAACCCGUAAGGCUCAAGGAAGCUGACUGGCGGGAUCCCCCCCGUGGGUUGCACCUCCGACUGACCUUGAUCUUUUGAAGGGUUUAAGUGAGAGCAUGCCUGUCGGGACUCGAAAGAUGGUGAACUAUGCCUGAGCGGGCCAAAGCCAAAGGAAACUCUGGUGGAGGCCCGCAGCGACACUGACGUGCAAAUCGUUCAUCUGAUUAGGGUAUAGCGGGGAAAGACUAAUCGAACUGCCUAGUAGCUAAUUCCCUCUGAAGUUUCCCUCAGGAUAGCUGGAGCUCGGGACGAGUUCUAUCGGGUCAAGCUAAUGAUUAGAGGCAUUGGGGGUUCAACGCCCUUGACCUUUUCUCAAACUUUAAAUAUGUAGGGAGACACGACUGCUUUGCUGAGCCGCACCAUAGAAUCGAGAGCUCCAAGUGGGCCAUUUUUGGUAAGUAGAACUGGCGAUGCGUUAUGAACUGGAAGCCCAAUUACGGUGCCCAACUGCACGCUAACCUAGAACCCACAAAGGGUGUUGGUGGAUUAAGACAGCAGGACGAUGGUCAUGGAAGUCAAAAUUCGCUAAGGAGUGUGUAAUAACUCACCUGCUGAAUCAACUAGCCUCGAAAAUGGAUGGCGCUAAAGCGUGCGACCUAUACCCGACCGUCGGGCUAGAUCCAGGCCCUGAUGGGUAGGAAGGCAUGGCGAUCGCUGCAAAACCCGUGGCGCGAGCCUGGGAAGAGCGACUGUCGGUGCAGAUCUUGGUGGUAGUAGCAAAUAUUCAAAUGAGAACUUUGAAGGUCGAAGAGGGGAAAGUUUCCAUGUGAAUGACACUAGCACAUGGGUUAGUCGAUACUAAGAGACGGGGGAAGACCGUCCGACAGUGCGUUCCUGUGCGAGCUUCGAAAGCGAAUCGGGUUAAAAUUCCCGAACUGGGACGUGAAGGUUGACGGCGACGUUAGGAGUCCGACGACGUCGACGGGGGCCUCGAGAAGAGUUAUCUUUUCUGUUUAACAGCCCGCCCACCCUGAAAUGACUCAGUCGGAGGUAGGGUCCAGCGGCUGGAAGAGCACCGCACAUCGCGCGGUGUCCGGUGCGCCCCUGAUGGCCUAUGAAAAUUCGGAGGACCGAGUGCCUCCCACGUCCGGUCGUACUCAUAAUUGCAUCAGGUCUCCAAAGUGAAUAGCCUCUAGUCGAUGAAAUAAUGAAGGCAAGGGAAGUCAGCAAAAUGGAUCCAUAACCUCGAGAAAAGGAUUGGCUCUAAGAGUUGGGCUCGGAGGUUCCAGUCCCGAACCCGUCGGCUGUCGGCGGACUGCUUGAGCUGCUCCUGCGGUGAGAGAGGGUCGUCGUGUGCUGGCCUGGGGACGGAUUAGGAACGACCCUUCCGGGGGCCUUCCCUGGGCGUCAACUAGUUGACUCAAAACUGGUACGAACAAGGGGAUUUCGACUGUUUAAUUAAAACAAAGCAUUGCGAUGGUCCCUACGGACGCUCACACAAUGUGAUUUCUGCCCAGUGCUCUGAAUGUCAAAGUGAAGAAAUUCAACCAAGCGCGGGUAAACGGCGGGAGUCACUAUGACUCUCUUAAGGUAGCCAAAAGCCUCGUCAUCUAAUUAGUGACAUGCAUGAAUGGAUUAAUGAGAUUCCUACUGUCCCUGUCUACUAUCCAGCGAAACCACAGCCAAGGGAAUGGGCUUGGUGGAAUCAACGGGGAAAGAAGACCUUGUUGAGCUUGACUCCAAUCCGACUUUGUUAAAUGACUUGAGACGUGUAGGAUAAGUGGGAGUCAAAAGGCGACGGUGAAAUACCACUACUUAUAACGUUAUUUUACUUAUUCCGUAGAUAGAAGGCGGGGCUAUGCCCUCUUUUUGGACCUAAGGCCGUUUCGGCGGCCGAUCCUGGUGAAAGAAAUUGUCAAAUGGGGAGUUUGGCUGGGGCCGUGCAUAUGUUAAAAGAUAACGCAGGUGUCUUAAGGUGAGCUCAACGAGAACAGAAAACUCGUGUGGAACAAAAGGGUAAAAGCUCGUUUGAUUCAUAUUUCCAGUACGAGUAUGAACCAUGAAAAGCGUACCUAUUGAUCCUUUAGACCAUCGAAAUUUGAAGCUAGAGGUAUCAAAAAAGUUACCACAGAUGUUACUAUAAGCUUGAAGUCACGACGCUGUGCAACUACCUUCUUCAAUAUCCCAAACAGCACAUCUGUGCUUAAAGAUCUUUCAUGUGCUUCAUCCAUGACUAUGACCCUACAACAAAACCAUCAAACUAAAGACUUCCAAUCCAGCAAAAAUGAGUUGCUCAUAAAAUUGAGAUAAACAAUAAUUUCUUACCUAUACUUGUCAAGAUCAGAAUCUUUUAGAGUUUCACGCCAAAGCAAUCCAUCUGUCAUAUACUGCACAAUUGAGCAUAUAAAAGUUUAGAAUGUUGUUGUCUUACAAGCAUAGAAUACACUUCAAGUAAAGGUUGAU